AGACUAUGAGAACAUUCCAGCCAUGAACUUGGACUACAAGAAUAUCCAGAUUCUGCCCCGGAGGCCUGCAGGGCUGGCAUGUUCAGGAAGCUGUUUGAAGAUCAGAGCAGAUCCCUGUCCACAGCAUAUGAAAACGAUGGCUACAUGGACAUGAGCAGCUUCAGAGCCUUCGAGAGCAAACAGCAGAGCACGGGCCAGCACGCAGAAAGGGGUGGACCAGACCUGGCCCCAGCUGAGUGCCUUCUAGCACUGAGGAAAGCAGAACCAAGCUUUGCAACAAAAAACUCUCCGUGCUCAAAGAGACUGCCCACCUCUAACAGAAUUUUAUAGCUGGAGGAAACUUCAGACACAAGUCCUGUUACAGAAGAGGAAACUGGCACAGAGAGGAAAUGGCGCUUGCAUAAGAUCUCUUGACAGAGUCUUGCCCUGUUGCCCAGGCUGGAGUGCAGUGGUGCAGUGGUGUGAUCAUAGCUCACUGUAGCUUCGACCACCUGGGCUCAAGCAGUCCUUCUGCCUCUGCCUCCCAAGUAGCUGGGACUACAAAGCAGGACCCAGGAUGCAAGACCCUAGGCAUCCCCGAGGCCUUCCACCGUCCCCAGGCCUUCCAAAGAGACAGCGGCAAGACCGCACAGUCUACAACUGGAAACAGCAGGAAGUGCUAGAAAAUCACUUCAAGAAGGAGCCGUACCCAGGCUAUGACACACGACAAAAGUUGGCGGAGACGCUCAACCUCGGGGAGUACCAAGUGCAGGUGUGGUUCAAGAAUCGCCGGGCCAAACGCUCUCGGGAGCGGUUGUUCCAGCAGCAGCUCCAGCAAGCUCGCACUGUGCCCCCUUUCCCUGAAGCCGCGGCCUCUGCCCCCAGUCAGCCUGGCCCCUUGGGAAUUCUCCCAGUGGUGGAACUCAUGAUCUUCAGCCUCCACCAGGCCUGAAGUAUCUUUGGGUGCAGAGCCCAGGAGGGCGUUUGGCUGCCCUGGGUCUAGCCCCUGGCCCAAUCCCAGCCCCAUUCCAGGCCCACUCAAAAGCCAAGGCCCAAUCCCAGGUCCAGGCUCCAUCCUAGCCCCUGGCCCAAUUCCAAGUCAGGCUUACUCCCAGGCCCAGGCUUAGUCCUAGCCCAAUCCCAGGUCCUGGCCCAAUCCCAAACUUACGAUCACUCCCAGACUCAGCCCUACUCUCCUUGUUACCUCAGAGCCCUUAUGGCUCCAAUUUCUUGCCAGACACAGUCAUUCCCUGACUUCGCAGAGCUCCUCCCACCCCUGGACCAGUUCGAGGGAUCCUUGGUCUCCACC